GAGUGGAGUUUCUAUGAGUAAAAUUCUGUUAAUUUACAAGUAUUUUCCCAUGUCAGCCAAUGACCCAUUUAUUAGAACAUUUAUAAUUUUAUUGAAAUCAGUGAAACAAAAUACAGUUCUUAGGAGUUCAUAAUGGGAUUAAAUCUGUGUAAGUAACUGGUUUAAUAGGUCAGUAUAUAUUACAGUAGUAUAAUGGAGAUUUAGCAUGCACUCUGGACCGUCACAUUUUAGCCCUGAGUCAGUCAGAUUCCAGCCAGGUAUGGCUAUAGAUGGUAUACUAGAUACUUUAUAUACAUUAUUGCUAAUCUACAAAAAAUUCCUGCAAAGUACUUACCUUCUCCAUUUAAGUCUAAGUAUGCUAGAAUAUAACCAGAGUUUGUCUUCAUUUUCAAAUGGAAACAAGAAAUGUUAAGAUUAAGUUGCCAAAGGUCACAGAGCUUACUCAGGUCACAUAGUUUACUCAGUGGAGAAGCCCGAAUUUGAAAUGGGAAUCUAUAAUCCAAAACGCCAGCCUAUUUUACAUUAUUUCAUGUUGGCAAAUAAGUAUAUAUGAAUCAUUUAUUUCUGUCAUUAAGUCUUAUACUGUUAGCCUCUUUCGUUGAUAGGUAAUAAAAUCACUUAAAAAUUUGUCUGCAGGAUGCUGAGAUUUUUUUGUAACUUGUUUUAAGUGUAGACUUUGAUUUUGUUGUAUUUAGGGUUUGUUUUGCCUUUUUUUUUUUUUUUUUUUUUUUAAGAUUUUAUUUGUCAGAAAGA